UAGAAUUAAUUUUUUUAAAGACGAGCCUGGUUAGGCCUGGCUUGACGGCAUUAACAUGUAACAUUUUUUUGCCAAACUUGGCUGGUCUGCUAGUUUGAAACUCAAGGCUUGGCCUGGUUAACGAUCAAAGUUUAGUAGGCUGGAUUAGGCUUGUGAUAUCUUUAAAAUAGGUUUACAUGACUCAUUUUGAGUCGUGAGAUAUAUGGUAUAAAAUGUAAAUAUAAAUUUUAUUUAUAUUACUGUUAAAUUGUCGUGCAAAAUACGACAAAUAUAUAACCUGUAAGUUUCAAUAGAAAUAGUAGUAUUCACACUCAAAAUCA
rnacentral:lncRNA from 1 species